rnacentral:misc_RNA from 1 species
GAUGAAGAACGUAGCGAAAUGCGAUACGUAAUGUGAAUUGCAGAUUUCAGUGAAUCAUCGAAUCUUUGAACGCACAUUGCGCCCGCUAGUAUUCUGGCGGGCAUGCCUGUUCGAGCGUCAUUUCAACCAUCAAGCCCUGUGCUUGUGUUGGAGCCCUGCGGCUGCCGCAGGCUCCCAAACCCAGUGGCGGGCUCGUCGUCGUACCGAGUGCAGUAAACAUACCACGCUCAGGGCACGCGACGGGUGACCGGCCGUAAAACCCCCCCCCUUCUCAAGGUUGACCUCGGAUCAGGUAGGAAUACCCGCUGAACUUAAGCAUAUCAAUCAGCGGAGGA